rnacentral:lncRNA from 1 species
AUGAGCACUGCGGGGGAAUGCUUUGCUGAAAUUCGUAGAUUGAACGAUGAAGCGGACGACAAUUAUAAACAGUCUAUUGCUUUAAAAAUGAGAUUGGAUCAAAUCGUCGGUCAUGAAAUUCCAAAACUUCUCAAAGCAAUUAAAGCAUGUAAAAAUUAUAACCCUCUUACAAACUCAACUCACUAUCAGAUAGGUAGAGGGUUGCACAAGCGGGGUAGAAGAAAGCAAAAGAAGCUCACACCUAGAGAACUGUACUGGAAAAGGAGACGUAGAUUGAUAACAAAGGCGAGAAAAACUCUUGCCAGGUCCAGAAGUAAACAAAAACAUAAAAGCAAUAGAGACUCAAUGAGGUCAGACCCGGCUUCUUCUUCCAGUACAGACACCCAGAGGGAUGGACAUUCUCCUGAACCUCAACAGGUAGAAUCCCCAUCUAACGAGGUUGAGUACCGACCUCAACAGGAAGACACCUCUGGUGAGGAGGAUGAUGGGUCACCCCCUGUGCUUGCAGAAUGCGUGCACAGGUGGCAAUUUACCUUUCCUAGUUAUAACACAUUGCGGAUCGGGGAGGUAUACCGUUUCAGAAAUUUAGAAACCGUGAGGUCAUAUGCACAGGUUAUAAAUGCAUUAUACACAGCGAUCCAGGGCAUCUUAGACAAUCUGAACCAGAGAAUUGAUCCCGAAGAUUUUGUUCAGGUGAGAUUAGAAGCCUCAGGGUUACGAAAUCCACUCUUCUCUUUUAAAAGAAGUAGGGAUCUCUUUAAUGCUGAGGAGUUUCUAGUCCAGCUGAGUCGUCUAUUACAGAGCAAUAUGGAAAUCUGCGCUCAUGGUGAUUUUGAGCUCGUGGUCACUAUAACAAAACCGCCACAAGGUGGAGCACGUCGAAAACUGAGUUCCAUUCCAGCCAGUGAAAUAAUUGCUAGGAAGAGACAGUAUCUGAUAGACCUGAAUUAUGCAGGUGGCAAUAUGUGUUUUGCUGGAGCUUUAUUUGGUGUUAUGAGUUUACAUAAACCCACAGAUUCAGAAAUGUUGACAGCUGCUCAAAAACUGCAUAUGGAACUCGGAUGGUCUGAUCAAAAAAAGGUAACCCUUAAUGAUAUUUCUACUGUUGAACAACAUUUAAGAGUCAAUAUCGAUGUUGCUUAUUACUCAAAAAAGUCAGAGUGGGCUCUGUUUAAAACACAGGGCCCCAUUUAUCCUCAAGCCUAUACUCUACUCUUACAUGAUGAGCAUUUCUAUGGGGUUCUGAAUGUAAAAGCGCUAUUUGGCAUCCGAAACUACUGUCAAUUUUGUCGCAAACUCUAUAAUCAUGACCAUCAUUCAUGUCUAUUUUAUUGCAGAAUGUGUUUGAGAAAGGGGUGUGAUAAUGUGAUAGGGAAACAGGUUCGAUGCCCCCGAUGUAAGUUUCAUUGUAGGUCUGAGGCUUGCUUAAAAUUACACCAACAGCUGGGUUUAGAGAAGAAAGUCAAAUGUCUAGCGAGAAUGUAUUGUACAAAGUGUCGAUAUUAUCAGGAGCUGGAUCACGAUGAUGAAAAGUGUAAAGGGAGACAGUGUACGGUCUGCUGGGGUUACAUUGUUGAAGAUGAGGGUCAUUUGUGUUACAUGCAACCGCUUAAACAGCCAAAGCUUUCUGUGAAAUAUUUAUUUUACGAUUUUGAAUGUCACCAGAGUACGGGGGCUCACGUGCCGAAUUUUUGCUUUGUAAAAGCUUAUUCUGGGGAGACUGUGGAGUGUUUUAAACCAGAUUUUGUGGAGGAGAAUAGUGGGUCUGAAGACAGUGAUGGUGAAAUUGAGGUGGAAGGGGAAAGGGAGCCAUGGAAGUUUGCAGGCAAAACCUGGGAAUUUAAGGGCGAAAACUGUAUGUGA